GGGCCUACGGGGCGCAGCAGUGGGGAAUAUUGCACAAUGGGGGAAACCCUGAUGCAGCGACGCCGCGUGAGUGAAGAAGUAAUUCGUUAUGUAAAGCUCUAUCAGCAGGGAAGAAAAUGACGGUACCUGAGUAAGAAGCCCCGGCUAACUACGUGCCAGCAGCCGCGGUAAUACGUAGGGGGCAAGCGUUAUCCGGAUUUACUGGGUGUAAAGGGAGCGUAGACGGCGAUGCAAGUCUGAAGUGAAAGGCGGGGGCCCAACCCCCGGACUGCUUUGGAAACUGUAUGGCUGGAGUGCAGGAGAGG
rnacentral:rRNA from 1 species